rnacentral:rRNA from 1 species
CCUACGGGGAGCAGCAGUGGGGAAUAUUGCGCAAUGGGCGAAAGCCUGACGCAGCGACGCCGCGUGAGGGAUGAAGGUCUUCGGAUCGUAAACCUCUGUCAGCAGGGAAGAACGGUCACUGUGCUAAUCAGCAGUGAAUUGACGGUACCUGCAAAGGAAGCACCGGCUAACUCCGUGCCAGCAGCCGCGGUAAUACGGAGGGUGCGAGCGUUAAUCGGAAUUACUGGGCGUGAAGCGCUCGUAGGCGGUAUGUCAAGUCAAGGGGGAAAUCCCCGCGCUCAACGUGUGAACGGCUUUUGAAACUGGCAAACUGGAGUGUGUGAGAGGAUAGUGGAAUUCCAGGUGUAGGAGUGAAAUCCGUAGAUAUCUGGAGGAACAUCAGUGGCGAAGGCGACUAUCUGGCACAUAACUGACGCUGAGGAGCGAAAGCGUGGGUAGCAAACAGGAUUAGAUACCCCUGUAGUC